rnacentral:rRNA from 1 species
UACGUAGGGCGCAAGCGUUGUCCGGAAUUAUUGGGCGUAAAGAGCUCGUAGGCGGCGUGUCGCGUCUGCCGUGAAAGCCCAUGGCUUAACUGUGGGUCUGCGGUGGAUACGGGCAGGCUGGAGGCUGGUAGGGGCAAGCGGAAUUCCUGGUGUAGCGGUGAAAUGCGCAGAUAUCAGGAGGAACACCGGUGGCGAAGGUGGCUUGCUGGGCCAGUUCUGACGCUGAGGAGCGAAAGCGUGGGGAGCAAACAGG